CGCGUGAGUGAGAGGGUUUCGGCUCGUAAAGCUCUGUUGUUGGUGAAGAAGGACAGGGGUAGUAACUGACCUUUGUUUGACGGUUAUCAAUUAGAAAGUCACGGCUAACUACGUGCCAGCAGCCGCGGUAAU
rnacentral:rRNA from 1 species